UUUUGCUCCACAGUGUGUACUAUCAAAAGCAUUUUUUUUGGUAUAAUUACCUGAAACAAAGAUGCAAGGGGAUGCAUUUUUUUAUAGCGGGCUACCUGCCAGGAAUUCUGCCCCCUUUUAAAUAUGGCUCUGUUGACAUUAUGACAACACGUUAAAAUGAGAGAAUUAACACAUUGUACAGAGAUUUCAACAGACAUGCGGAAAGGGAAACUUCUAGACUGGAAGUUUGUCAUUUUACCCACCGGAAAGCUGGACGUACACUGGGACCACCCACUGGGAGGACAGCCCACUGGGAGGACAGCCCACUGGGACCACCCUCCCUGAAACUGGGCAGCCAAUUGCCCCUCUCUGCAGCAGGACUAUAAGGCUCUGCUCCUUCCUGAACAGGUAAGCGCUGGACCUGAGCAUCACAGAGCAACAACCAAGUCACCGCCUAGGCACGCCGAGCACAGUUGAGCACAGUUCCACGAUGGACAGAGGCAGAAUGGUGGUACGCCUUUGCGCCCUGCUGCUGAUGCUGCUAGUAGCCAUGGUGGAGGGCUACUCCAGUACAACCGCAAACACGUCCGUAUCGACGAAAAACCAAACUCACUCAGCAGCCCAUCCCGACACCUGCGGCUGGUUCUCCUUCUUACUGCCCCUGUCCCUGUGGAUCCUGCUUCACUAACAGCGCGGCGGACCUGCCGGAUCUCACGCACCCGAUCCCCGAUUGGCUGCACGCAUGUUGAUUUGUGCUCAGACAUCCAAUCAAACUGCUUCAGAGAUGAUGACUUUGUGUUUUUUUUUUCUGUUACGUACCUUGCAAAAAUCCUGGUCCCGGUUUUAGGGAAAUUUCACUCUUUGUAUAUGUAAAUGUUUUGCUGUGGUCAACGAACCAGGCACACAUGCUGCCAAAAAUCAAACAGAAUCCUAAAGACAUGAGGGCGCCUCCUUCAGGUUUUCCGGAUAGUUCCUCUCCCACUAUGCCAGGAGGGCUGGAGCUCCACCUGUCAACCCUUACUUGCCCCCCCAGGACACCCCAAAUAUUUGUAAGGCAAAGCAGGACUGCUAGAUGCUCAUUCCUCUGCAUACCUUUCGUAAUCAAACAACUGUUAACUGAUCAGAUCUGCGUUGUGCCUUUUUUAGAGCCUAGCGCUGUAGGUUUCUGCAUGUCUUAAAUAAAAUCAAUACACAGAUAAGUGA